rnacentral:rRNA from 1 species
GAUGAACGCUGGCGGCGUGCCUAAUACAUGCAAGUCGAGCGAACGGACGAGAAGCUUGCUUCUCUGAUGUUAGCGGCGGACGGGUGAGUAACACGUGGAUAACCUACCUAUAAGACUGGGAUAACUUCGGGAAACCGGAGCUAAUACCGGAUAAUAUUUUGAACCGCAUGGUUCAAAAGUGAAAGACGGUCUUGCUGUCACUUAUAGAUGGAUCCGCGCUGCAUUAGCUAGUUGGUAAGGUAACGGCUUACCAAGGCAACGAUGCAUAGCCGACCUGAGAGGGUGAUCGGCCACACUGGAACUGAGACACGGUCCAGACUCCUACGGGAGGCAGCAGUAGGGAAUCUUCCGCAAUGGGCGAAAGCCUGACGGAGCAACGCCGCGUGAGUGAUGAAGGUCUUCGGAUCGUAAAACUCUGUUAUUAGGGAAGAACAUAUGUGUAAGUAACUGUGCACAUCUUGACGGUACCUAAUCAGAAAGCCACGGCUAACUACGUGCCAGCAGCCGCGGUAAUACGUAGGUGGCAAGCGUUAUCCGGAAUAUUGGGCGUAAAGCGCGCGUAGCGGUUUUUUAGUCUGAUGUGAAAGCCCACGGCUCAACCGUGGAGGGUCAUUGGAAACUGGAAAACUUGAGUGCAGAAGAGGAAAGUGGAAUUCCAUGUGUAGCGGUGAAAUGCGCAGAGAUAUGGAGGAACACCAGUGGCGAAGGCGACUUUCUGGUCUGUAACUGACGCUGAUGUGCGAAAGCGUGGGGAUCAAACAGGAUUAGAUACCCUGGUAGUCCACGCCGUAAACGAUGAGUGCUAAGUGUUAGGGGGUUUCCGCCCCUUAGUGCUGCAGCUAACGCAUUAAGCACUCCGCCUGGGGAGUACGACCGCAAGGUUGAAACUCAAAGGAAUUGACGGGGACCCGCACAAGCGGUGGAGCAUGUGGUUUAAUUCGAAGCAACGCGAAGAACCUUACCAAAUCUUGACAUCCUUUGACAACUCUAGAGAUAGAGCUUUCCCCUUCGGGGGACAAAGUGACAGGUGGUGCAUGGUUGUCGUCAGCUCGUGUCGUGAGAUGUUGGGUUAAGUCCCGCAACGAGCGCAACCCUUAAGCUUAGUUGCCAUCAUUAAGUUGGGCACUCUAAGUUGACUGCCGGUGACAAACCGGAGGAAGGUGGGGAUGACGUCGAAUCAUCAUGCCCCUUAUGAUUUGGGCUACACACGUGCUACAAUGGACAAUACAAAGGGCAGCGAAACCGCGAGGUCAAGCAAAUCCCAUAAAGUUGUUCUCAGUUCGGAUUGUAGUCUGCAACUCGACUACAUGAAGCUGGAAUCGCUAGUAAUCGUAGAUCAGCAUGCUACGGUGAAUACGUUCCCGGGUCU